UACAGAGGCCUCGAGCGUUAGGCGGAAUCACUGGGCUUAAAGCGUGUGUAGGCGGACUUCUAAGUACCUUGUGAAAUCCCACGGCUUACCCGUGGAACGGCUGGGUAUACUGGGAGUCUUGAGCCACCUAGGGGCGAGUGGAACAAAUGGUGGAGCGGUGAAAUGCGUAGAUAUCAUUUGGAACGCCAAUGGGUGAAAACAACUCGCUGGGGGUGUGCUGACGCUGAGACACGAAAGCCAGGGGAGCGAACGGG
rnacentral:rRNA from 1 species